rnacentral:lncRNA from 1 species
UCCAUCUUUAUUUACACUGUGCUGUGAUUGGAUGUUCCUUUUCUAAGAAGGCUUUGGCAUCAGUAGGCUUUAACAAAUAAUCGGAGGGUUUUCUGAGCAUUCUGGUUUCCCACAGAUGAUGGGCUCAGCUGAUACUCCUUGUUUAUAAAUAGGAGUGACCACGUAUCUUGUAUCUACAGAGGAAUCUUCUACUUGCUGAAAGCCCUAAGCUAAAGAUGACUAGUACAGGAUGGAAAAAAAAUUGCU